rnacentral:rRNA from 1 species
UACGUAGGGUGCAAGCGUUAAUCGGAAUUACUGGGCGUAAAGCGUGCGCAGGCGGUUUUGUAAGUCUGAUGUGAAAUCCCCCGGGCUCAACCUGGGAAUUGCAUUGGAGACUGCAAGGCUAGAAUCUGGCAGAGGGGGGGGUAGAAUUCCACGUGUAGCAGUGAAAUGCGUAGAGAUGUGGAGGAACACCGAUGGCGAAGGCAGCCCCCUGGGUCAAGAUUGACGCUCAUGCACGAAAGCGUGGGGAGCAAACGAGG